UUAAUGGCAUAGCCAUUGAAAUAUCUGAAGUUGAGGCCAUUUCUUUCUCUGAUCUUUGGUUCUGCUCUCUCUAGGCCACCGCCUUUCUUUCUAUGAAUUUACUGUCCAAAUUGGAAAGAUGGGAUUCUUAAGGGUGUUUUUGAGAGUAGGGGAAGGGAAUGUAAUGAAAGGUGGAAAAUUGAGAUACCAGGGGAACGUGCCGUCUUGAUCGCUGUCCUAUGUGGCAGCUUCGCUGUUAGGAAUUGGUGGAUAAGGUUAUCUAAUUGGCCCAAAUUACCAUCAAGUUUGAAAUUUGGAAG
rnacentral:misc_RNA from 1 species